rnacentral:tRNA from 1 species
GCGAGCGUAGCCAAGUGGUUAAGGCAGUGGUUUGUGGUACCACCAUUCGCGGGUUCGAACCCGUCGUUCGCC